CCAAUCGAGAUCGGUAAGGAACAAUCCUUGAAGCUCAGGAGGGAUAGCGCCUAGGUUCACUGCAACCAACAAGAGAACCGGCCAUCGAUAUAUACAUAUAUAUGUCCUCGAUCGACCGAUCGAUCUCUUGCUGGUUCCGUCGAUCUGUUCGUCCGAAGCGCUAUCUAUCCUGAGCUCCACGGUUCGUUCGUUCUUACCAUGCCCACACA